GCGACGGUGCGCCAUAUUGAAUUUUGUUGCUUCCUUGUAAGAUUCGUCAAUUCAACCAGGGGAACCGGAAAACCGUCACGGUUUUAUAUAACCGUCAGGAAUAUGGAUACCUGGGGCGCAGCUAAAUCGGCCUGAAAUAAACAGACGUCUUCAUAAUCAAAUUGGCGAUCGUGGCCGUCAGCUGCUGAACAUUCAACAGCUCGGAAGCGGACCACAGGAUAUACACGGAACAUACCAUUCGUCAAUUUAACCAGGGGAACCGGAAAACGUUUUCAUAACCAACAUCUUGGCAAUCGUGGCCGUCAGCUGCUGAACAUUCAUCGAACAUCUCGGAAGCGGUGAACGAAGGUAACGUCAUGGAUUGGACUACAGGAUGUUCACGGAACAUACCCAUUCGAAGUUCUCCUAGAUCAUCGAUUUCCGUGUCGCUCGGUUUCAAAGGUGCAACAUGGUUAUUCGUCCGAAACCUGCGAGUUUCAAGUGAGGAGCUACACACCUGUCGCCACACCAGUUCACUAAAUCAGAGGUUCGUGUUUAGAUGACUUGCUGCCCCUGGCUGAUUUUGCUGCGUAUGGACAACUAAUAAAACGGGCUGAUAGCGGCUUCUCAU